rnacentral:rRNA from 1 species
AAAUUGAAGAGUUUGAUCAUGGCUCAGAUUGAACGCUGGCGGCAGGCCUAACACAUGCAAGUCGAACGGUAACAGGAAGCAGCUUGCUGCUUCGCUGAUGAGUGGCGGACGGGUGAGUAAUGUCUGGGAAACUGCCUGAUGGAGGGGGAUAACUACUGGAAACGGUAGCUAAUACCGCAUAACGUCGCAAGACCAAAGAGGGGGACCUUCGGGCCUCUUGCCAUCGGAUGUGCCCAGAUGGGAUUAGCUAGUAGGUGGGGUAACGGCUCACCUAGGCGACGAUCCCUAGCUGGUCUGAGAGGAUGACCAGCCACACUGGAACUGAGACACGGUCCAGACUCCUACGGGAGGCAGCAGUGGGGAAUAUUGCACAAUGGGCGCAAGCCUGAUGCAGCCAUGCCGCGUGUAUGAAGAAGGCCUUCGGGUUGUAAAGUACUUUCAGCGGGGAGGAAGGGAGUAAAGUUAAUACCUUUACUCAUUGACGUUACCCGCAGAAGAAGCACCGGCUAACUCCGUGCCAGCAGCCGCGGUAAUACGGAGGGUGCAAGCGU